UACGAAGGGAGCUAGCGUUGUUCGGAAUCACUGGGCGUAAAGCGCACGUAGGCGGAUUUGUCAGUCAGGGGUGAAAUCCCGGGGCUCAACCUCGGAACUGCCUUUGAUACAGCAAGUCUUGAGUUCGAGAGAGGGUGGUGGAAUUCCCGGUGUAGUGGUGAAAUGCGUAGAGAUCGGGAGGAACACCCGUGGCGAAGGCGGCCACCUGGGCCGACCCUGACGCUGAGGCGCGAAGGCGUGGGGAGCGAACGGG
rnacentral:rRNA from 1 species